GUCUACCCUGGGUUUUCUCCUGUGAGUCGGAGCCUGUAGAGGUCUGUGCCUUGAUUGUAAAGGGUGCAGUUGUUGGAGUCCUGCUCCAGGAGUUUGUUGCUGCUUGUUUGCGCUUAUAGUGCGUAUAUCUCAUCUGUGAGUGUUGUAAGCCUGAGGCUGUGUUGCAUCGGUUCCUGCGUUCCGGAGUUGGGGGACGCCGGCAGGGAGGCUUGGCACCGGGUGGCUGGGUACCUGUGUUUGUGUGUGUUUCACCUUUCUGGCAGUGUAGUGUCACCUGGGUGUGCUGUGCAGUGUAUGUGUGCGCUUCACGUGUGGUCUUUUUGGACCCUCCUUCCAGAUCGCCUCCCUGUGAAUCUUCUCCACACUCUGGAGCCAAGGUUGAAGGAAUGAGAGUGGCGGGAAGAAAACAAGCUGCUGUAGAGAGAAGGACGUUUGGCUGGAAAGGAGAUUAAUUAAAUGGGCAGAUUACAAGCCUAAUGAUAGCCUCCUUCACUUGCAUCAACACCUCUUUGGACCACGUAUUGAGAGUUCCCAUGAACAGCUACCAAAUGGAAAUUCAACACUUGGAAUCAAUUCCAGACUUUUAUCUCCUUCGUUUAUCAUGAAAUAAUGAGGAAACAAGCCACACUUGUCUAUGAAACUGCUCAUCAGGCAAUUGUCCAAUUACUAUUGAGCCUGUAAAAAUGGAGGUCCUAUGUAAAAAAAAAUGUAUGUAAUUCCUAAAUGGUUAUUGCAAUAUUUCUGUUAAACCCCUUGAAUUAAAACCUGAAAGUCUACACUUCAA